GGGUAUUUUAGCUGUUUGAGCCUCUCCCCUCGGGCACUGAGAUGACUGCAAGAAGGGUGGUGGAGAAGAACUCUUCAGGCAGAGUGAGAGGGAAACGCCCUGGCUCUGUUUGUCAAAAGCUUUCUUGGUGUGGAUUCAGCUGUAAGAAUCAGUGCCUCCUAGAGGGCCCCAUUUCCCAAAGGAAUUGAGAACCCAGUUGCACAAUUAUCAGCUCUGUGCUUGGUCCUCUUACUGCUUUAAAGAUAUUUCUGGUAUGAUUAAGGAAUAAUCAACAGAAUGAAAGUUCUCUGGGUCAGGUCCUAGUUCUGGAACAUGAUUAAUUCAUUGCUUGUGAAGACAUAGUGCAAUUUUCAAUACUACAAAAUAUAGUAAUAAAUAAACAAGGCUGCUGCAGUUCUGAUAUUGGUUGAGAAUUAAUCAUGAAUUCCAGCUUGUGAAUUAGAACUGGCAGGCUGUGCAAGAGUUUCAAAUCUAGUGCAAUGUAUCUCCUGGGAGCUAUUUCAGCUUUUCUAGUUAUGCGGCAGCACUGAUGUUGAUUGUAUAAGAAGCCAACAGAUUCCAGAGGAAAAGAACUGCGAGGCCAGAUAUAGUAAAUCAGAAAGUUAUUCCACGUUACAGAAAACAUUUGGGAACACUGUUGGUUACUUCUCACCUGUGAAAAUUUAACCUUUAGUUGGACAAUCGUUAUAGUGCCUGAUUAUCUCCUUUGGAAUAAAAAACUCCACCCAAUAAACAAUGAGUUGGCCAAUCA